rnacentral:rRNA from 1 species
UACAGAGGUCUCAAGCGUUGUUCGGAUUCAUUGGGCGUAAAGGGUGCGUAGGCGGCGCGGUAAGUCGGGUGUGAAAUCUCGGGGCUUAACUCCGAAACUGCAUUCGAUACUACCGUGCUUGAGGACUGGAGAGGAGACUGGAAUUUACGGUGUAGCGGUGAAAUGCGUAGAUAUCGUAAGGAAGACCAGUGGCGAAGGCGGGUCUCUGGACAGUUCCUGACGCUGAGGCACGAAGGCCAGGGGAGCAAACGAG